GACAGAUUUAAAAUAUAAGCCAAUAUAUCACACCUGCAGAAUCCACUGAAAGGCCAAGCAAUCAUGCCAGAAUCUCAGACCAGUGUUGCCCCAACCUACCGUGGUUGGUCUAUUUUCAACAUUAUAUGCUGCUGUUUGCCUCUUGGAGCUUGUGCACUGUAUUACUCCGGUAAGGUAAAAACUGCAAAUGAAGCUGGAGACACCAUUGCAGCUCAGGACGCAUCAAAAACGGCAAUGACCCUGAAUAUCAUCUCCCUCAUCUGUGGACUUAUUCUCAUCCCCAUCGUCCUCUAUUACCAAUUCCAAGAUCUGAAGCAUCACUAACUUGUCACUGCAAAUAUCUUCCUCUCCUCCACCGGAAGUUGAAAGCAACAUACGUAAAUGACUGAUCUUAUCUACAUCUGUCAACCUGAAUGCUGUCAAAAAUAUUCUUUGGUACAUUGUUUCACCCUCAAUUGUAAAAUCAUUUAAAGUUUGUUAACACAGAAAACAGCAUCGUUUAACUUUGUUCGGUGCUGGUUAAAAAUAAAGAAAACUUGAAACGGC